rnacentral:rRNA from 1 species
AACGAACGCUGGCGGCGUGGAUUAGGCAUGCAAGUCGAACGAGAAAGGGGCUUCGGCCCUGAGUAAAGUGGCAAACGGGUGAGUAACGCGUGGAGAACCUGCCCAGAAGUGGGGGAUAACACUCCCAACGGGGUGCUAAUACCGCAUGUGUCCGCGGGAGCGCAUGCUCUUGCGGGUGAAGGUGGCCUCUACUUAUAAGCUACCGCUUUUGGAUGGCUCUGCGUCCCAUUAGCUUGUUGGCGGGGUAACGGCCCACCAAGGCGACGAUGGGUAGCUGGUCUGAGAGGAUGGUCAGCCACACUGGGACUGAGAUACGGCCCAGACUCCUACGGGAGGCAGCAGUCGAGAGGCUUCCGCAAUGGGGGAAACCCUGACGGAGCGACGCCGCGUGGGCGAUGAAGGCCUUCGGGUUGUAAAGCCCUUUCAGAUGGGAAGAAAGGUCGGCGGGUGAACAAUCCGCCGGCUGUGACGGUACCGUCAGAAGAAGCUCCGGCUAACUCCGUGCCAGCAGCCGCGGUAACAC